UACGGAGGGGGGCAAAUGUUGUUCGGAAUCACUGGGCGUAAAGGGAGCGUAGGCGGGUUUUUAAGUCAGGUGUUUAAUCCCGGGGCCCAACCCCGGACAGGCACUUGAACUGGGAAUCUUGAAUAGUGGAGAGGUCAGUGGAAUUGGGGUGGUAGCGGUGGAAUGCGUAGAGAUCCCAAGAACACCCGUUGCGAAGGCGGCUGACUGGACACAUAUUGACGCUGAGGCUCGAAAGCAUGGGAGCAAACAGGG
rnacentral:rRNA from 1 species